AUUGAACGCUGGCGGCAUGCCUUACACAUGCAAGUCGAACGGUAACAGGUCUUCUGAUGCUGCCGAGUGGCUUACGGGUGAGUAAUACAUCGGAACGUGCCCUGACGUGGGGGGUAACGAGACGAAAGGUUACCUAAUACAACAUCCGAUAUCAGGAUGAGAGCCGGGGACUGCACGGCCUAGUUCGUUUUGCGUGGCUGAUGGCAGAUUAGGUGGUUGGUGGGAUAAAAGCUUACCAAGCCGACGAUCUGUAGCUGGUUGGAGAGGACGACCGGCCAAACUGGGACUGGGACACGGCCCAGACUCCUACGGGAGGCAGCAGUGGGGAAUUUUGGACAAUGGGCGAAAGCCUGAUCCAGCAAUGCCGCGUGCAGGAUGAAGGCCUUCGGGUGGUAAACUGCGUUUGUACGGAACGAAAAGGCUCUGGCUAAUACCUGGGGCACAUGACGGUACCGUAAGAAUAAGCACCGGCUAACUACGUG
rnacentral:rRNA from 1 species